rnacentral:rRNA from 1 species
UACGUAGGGUGCGAGCGUUAAUCGGAAUUACUGGGCGUAAAGCGUGCGCAGGCGGUUCGCUGUGUCCUGUGUGAAAGCCCUGGGCUUAACCUGGGAAUGGCAUGGGAAACUGGCGGGCUGGAGUGUGGCAGAGGGGGGUGGAAUUCCGCGUGUAGCAGUGAAAUGCGUAGAGAUGCGGAGGAACACCGAUGGCGAAGGCAGCCCCCUGGGCUAACACUGACGCUCAGGCACGAAAGCGUGGGGAGCAAACAGG